AACGCGAAGAACCUUACCUACUCUUGACAUCCAUGGGAGCCAGCAGAGAUGUUGGUGUGCCUUCGGGAACCAUGAGACAGGUGCUGCAUGGCUGUCGUCAGCUCGUGUCGUGAGAUGUUGGGUUAAGUCCCGUAACGAGCGCAACCCUUAUCCUUAGUUGCCAUUGGGUAAAGCCAGGAACUCUAAGGAGACUGCCGGUGACAAGCCGGAGGAAGGCGGGGAUGAUGUCAAGUCAUCAUGGCCCUUACGAGUAGGGCUACACACGUGCUACAAUGGGCGGUACAGAGGGAAGCGAAGCCGUGAGGUGAAGCGAAUCUCACUAAAGCCGCUCGUAGUCCGGAUUGGAGUCUGCAACUCGACUCCAUGAAGUUGGAAUCGCUAGUAAUCGCAGAUCAGCACGCUGCGGUGAAUACGUUCCCGGGCCUUGUACACACCGCUAGUC
rnacentral:rRNA from 1 species